rnacentral:lncRNA from 1 species
GUUUAGUUGGGAGUUAGAGUUGAGUCUAACUAAGCUUGGUUUUUGAAAGUAGUCUUCAGGAGUCUGGUAUAGCUCUUGUAUUAUUUCUUUUUAAGACUUGAGUUAUGAAUAUUACAAUCAUAUGCAACGUAGGUGAAAAUUUUAGUGCGGGUUGUUCCUGGAGUAUGAGAUGGACUCAACACAAUAUUGUUUGAGCCUCCAAUUUGGAUUGGAAACCCGUCUUAUAAGGAGGUAGUUAAGAGGGAGAAUGUCCUAGAACAUCUUUGAUGUGUUCUCCACAUGCUUGGGCCAUGCUCCAACUUGGACUAUGGUCCUAAGGAUGGUUACUAAGCCAAGGUGAUGCCACAAGACUUGGCAAAAGCAACAACAUGUCAUGAUGAUUCGAAGACCUUGUCGACAUGAUGUUAAGCUAGGACCAUAUUCAUUUAAAAGCUUACAUCAAGUAGUCAUGGACUUCAAUCACACUCUAGAUGGAAGAUAAAUGGCUUUCCUAAUAAAGUAUUGUCUGACUGUCAGCGAACCGAAUGUUGGGCUUCAAUGGCCUUGCACUCCAAGAUUGGUCUUGUGCAUGGUGUAUCCAAGUCCCAUAAGUUGUAGAGAUCAUGGAAGGAACCCC